rnacentral:rRNA from 1 species
ACUUUCAACAACGGAUCUCUUGGUUCUGGCAUCGAUGAAGAACGCAGCGAAAUGCGAUAAGUAGUGUGAAUUGCAGAAUUCAGUGAAUCAUCGAAUCUUUGAACGCACAUUGCGCCCCUUGGUAUUCCAUGGGGCAUGCCUGUUCGAGCGUCAUUUGUACCUUCAAGCAUU